rnacentral:rRNA from 1 species
UCUGGGAAACUGCCUGAUGGAGGGGGAUAACUACUGGAAACGGUAGCUAAUACCGCAUAACGUCGCAAGACCAAAGAGGGGGACCUUCGGGCCUCUUGCCAUCAGAUGUGCCCAGAUGGGAUUAGCUAGUAGGUGGGGUAACGGCUCACCUAGGCGACGAUCCCUAGCUGGUCUGAGAGGAUGACCAGCCACACUGGAACUGAGACACGGUCCAGACUCCUACGGGAGGCAGCAGUGGGGAAUAUUGCACAAUGGGCGCAAGCCUGAUGCAGCCAUGCCGCGUGUAUGAAGAAGGCCUUCGGGUUGUAAAGUACUUUCAGCGGGGAGGAAGGCGAUAAGGUUAAUAACCUUGUCGAUUGACGUUACCCGCAGAAGAAGCACCGGCUAACUCCGUGCCAGCAGCCGCGGUAAUACGGAGGGUGCAAGCGUUAAUCGGAAUUACUGGGCGUAAAGCGCACGCAGGCGGUCUGUCAAGUCGGAUGUGAAAUCCCCGGGCUCAACCUGGGAACUGCAUUCGAAACUGGCAGGCUAGAGUCUUGUAGAGGGGGGUAGAAUUCCAGGUGUAGCGGUGAAAUGCGUAGAGAUCUGGAGGAAUACCGGUGGCGAAGGCGGCCCCCUGGACAAAGACUGACGCUC